rnacentral:lncRNA from 1 species
GGUAUUUUGAAAGCAAAUAACCAGAACUGAAUAAAGCUCGCAGCAGUGCCAAAGUUGUGCAGAUUUCGCAGGGCACUGCUUUACUGGAACAGAUGGCUAUAUAAAUAAAGUGCUUGACUCAACUACAAGAAACCUUCCAUUCAUCUCUCAUAGAUUGGAAAUGGGGUGAUUGGAUUAAUUAAAUAUUCUGAUAAGCAGAGAGGCUCCAUUUCUCCACAACGAAUUCUCAUCUAUAAAAAUGUCCCUCGUGGGGAAGUACCCUGUGAGUGGGCUCGAAGGAAUGCCAGCUCGUUCUCUGCAGGGUGACUAGGAUGGACCCCAAUGAGAGCCAGACUUACCACCCCGUGAGAGCCAGGCCAACCAGGACUAAGCAACAGAAAGACCUCAUUUGAUGAAGUCUGAGUUUCACUGUACUGAUGUGGGAAAUCUCUAAAGUCUAGGAUGAUGGCACUCUAGAGAAAGGUGUGGGAAGGAAGACACACUGAGAUGCAUCCUGGGAAGGAAGAAGAUUGAUAAGAGGUAAACCUGAACUCUGAGAGCUACAAAAAACUUGCAUCAUGCUUAAUGGUGAGACCGUAUAAAUUUUCCCACUAAGAUCAGGGGAAGUAAGAUAAGAAAGUAUAUCUCUCUCACCAUUUAUUUUUGACAUUGUAGCAGAGGUCCUACUUAAUGCAUAAGGCAAGAAAAGACAACAAAUAAUAUACAGAUUGAGAAGGAAGAAACUAACCUGUCUUUGUUCACAUACGACAUGAUUGUCUAUGUAAAAAAUCUGAAACAACACGAACUCCUGAAACUAUGAAGUAAUAAUAGCGAGUUUGUAGGAUACAAGGGUAAUACACAAAAGUCAAUCAUUUUUCUAAAUAUCAUCAAGAAAAAGUAAAAUUUGAAAUUAAAAAUGCAAUACUAUUUAUGUUACCAACCAAAAAAAUUAAGUAUUUUGAUAUAUAUCUAACUACAUACACACAAAUUCUGUAUGAGGAAAACUCCAAGACUAAUGACAUAAAUCAAAGAACUAAAUAAGUGGAAAGAUUGUCCAUGUACGUGGAUAGUAAGACUACAUAUCCUCCAGGUGUUGGUUCUUCUCAAAUUGACCCAGAGAUUUAAUGCCAUCCCAUUAAAAGUAUCAGCUAUUUAUUUCAUGGCUCUCAAGGAACAAAUUCUAAAGUGUCUCUGGAGAUGAAAAAGACACAGAAUAGUCAAUACAGCACUGAAGAAGAACGAAGUCAGAGGCUGACACCACCCUACUUCAAACCUAAGCGCGGUAGUGAUCCUAACGGUGUGGUCAGAGGAAAGAACAGGCACGUCAACCAGCAGAGCAAACAGGGAAACUAGAAGUAAACCCACGUAAAUGCGGCUGACGGACCUUUGUCAGAGGAGCAGAGGUGAUGCAACGGAGCAGCUAGUCUUUCCAACAAAUGAUGUUGGGACCCCGGACAUCCACAUGUGAAAAAAUGAAUCCACGGGCCUCACAUUCUCCGCAAAAAUCAGCUCAAAAUGGACCUAAAUGUAGAACGCAAAACUAUUAAGACAUUCUUAGGAGAGAACAUGGAAUAAGCAUAAAUAACCUUGGGCAUAAUGAAGACUUUUUAGCUACAACAUGAAAGUCAAAAUCCAUGAACUUGAUUAAAAUUAAAAACUUCUGCUCUGAUCAAGACAGUACCAAGAGAAUGAGAAGAGAAGCCAGACUGGGAUAAAAUAUUUGAAAAUUACAUAAAAAACCCUUAGCCAAAAUACGUAGAGAGUAGAAAAGCCAACAUCUGAAUCACCGACAACCUCAAAGCUGGUGAGGAUAUGGAGGCACAGGAACCCUCAUUCAUUUCGGUGGGAAUGCAAAGUGGAAUAGCUACUACCGAAGACAGCGCGGCAGUUUUUCAGACGACUAGACACACUCUUACCAUGUGAUUCACCAGUCUCCCUCCUUGGUGUUUGUCCAAAUGAGUUUGUCCAAACUUAUACCUACAUAAAAACCUGCACGCGAAUUUUUAUAGCAACUUGGUGCAUAAUUUCAGAAACUUGAAAGCAGCCAAGAUGUUCUUCCAUUGGAAAAGGGUUAAACAAAGAGGUGCAUGCAGACAAGGGGAUAUUUUCUGAUGCUGCAAAGAAAUGAACCCUCAGAAAGAGUUCUGAAAAACUCUGAAAAAGAAUGGAUAUGUGGAUAGGUCUAACUGAAUCACUUUGUUGUGUAGCAGAAAUUAUCACAACAUUGUAAAUCAACUAUUCUGCAGUAAAACUUAUGAAAAAAAAAUCUCAAGGCAUGAAUAGACACAGAAGAAGCUUAAGUAUAUACUAUUAAGUAGACGAAGCCAGUGUGCAAAAUGGCUAUACACUAGAUGAUUCCAACUCUGUGACAUCCUGGAAAAGGCAAAGACACGGAGUCAGUAAAAGGGUGAGUGGUCACCAGUAUUUACAGAGGCAGAGUAGGUGGACCACAGAGGAUUUUUUAGGGCAGUGAAACUAUGCUAUAGGAUGCUAUAAUGGGGUACAUAUCAUUAUAUAUUUAUUCAAAUUCACAGAAUGGACAACCCCAAGAGCAAAACAUCUAUGUAAACUGUGCUCUUUGCAUGACAACGAUGUGUCAACAUAGUUUCAUUGGUUGUAACAAACACACCCUCUGGUCUGGGAUGUUGACAGCAUGGGGGCAAGGAGAGAUGGAGAAUCUCUGUACCUUCUGCUCAGUUUUGUUGUGAAGCUAAACUUUCUCUAAAAUAUAAAAAAGAAACCCUAUAUGCGAUCUCUUGGGAUAGACCAUGAUGGAAGAUAAUAUAAGAUAGGGAAUGUUUACGUAUGUAUGACUGCGUCACUGUCCUGUACAGCAGAAAUUGGCGCCAAUCUGUAAAUCAGCUAUACUUAAAAAAAAAAAAAAA